UUAAUAAUUAGGAUUUAGGAGGCCUUAAACUUUGGUUUUAAACUUUAGAGCAAAUAUUUAAACCAUUAAAUAGUUAUAAGUUGACUGUUUCCAUGUUUAUACUUCCAUAUUUCUUGUCAGGUGACCAAUUUAUAACCAAAUUGUUUCUACAAUUUGUACCACUUAAAUUUCACUUUUCAAUAAUAUUUAAUUGUUUUAAGGGAAAAAAAAAGAAUUAUGAGUUGGUUGUCCGAUCGAUUAUAUGUUUUAAAAGAAUCAGCAAUCUCGUAAGUUUUCAUCUCAUAAUUUUAGGAAAUUAUAGCUGUGCUAGAUUUUGGUUUUUUUUCCAGCAUUUGUCAUUAAUCCCUAAAGUAUUUUCUAUGAUCUUUUUGUUGAUUGAUAGAUCGUCGUUUUACGAUUGCACCAAUGAUUCAAUUUGAAAUUAUAAAUUUGACCAAAGGAAUCAUCAACCCUUUCCUUAUCGAGUUAUCGCCUCGAUUUGAGAUUGAAAAUUUUGUCCUUUUGUUGGUUUUGUAAUGAUGCAGUGAUGUUUGCGAGGGCACCACGUAUCAAGUGAAUUUGACAUCUGCCCUCUCUUUUCUUCGCAUGCUGCUCACGUAGCACCUCCUCUUACGUAUGCUUAACUGCACAUUGAUUCGUAUGUUAAUUUCUGUAGCUAAACAAAACGAAAAUAAGAAAUAAGAAAUCUUUUGGCGCAUACUGAAUUGGCUCUUUUUUUUUUGUCAACUUAAGGUUGGCUUUAACUAGAAAUCUUUUGGCGCAUACUGCACAUUGAUUCGUAUGUUAAUUUCUGUAGCUAAACUUGGUGUUUAAAAAAAAACUAGAACCUUUUCAUUAAUUUACGGUAUUUUCAUACAUUAAAAAAAUAUAUAUAUAAACGGAAGCGAGAGUGAGCAGAAAUUUUUCAAAUCUAAUUUUUUAGAAAACUCUUGAAAAUUUCAUAAAAUUUUGUAUAAGACAUCAUUAUAUCCUAAUCAACAAGAAUUUCCGCUACUUAGUUCACUUUUAAAGUAGAAAAUGACUAGUUUAUAAAAAAAAAAGUAGAAAAAGGCUUAAAUACUCUUAAUAAGUAGGUCUUGAGUAGAACUAGAAGUAGAAGAAUAAUUAAUACACAAACUCGUGUUAACCUCAUUACCUUGCCCAAAUCAAGUGAUCAUGUUCAGGAUUACACUAUAUCAAUACACAACUGGCAACACGUCGACCUACUCUUAUAUGUAAUUUCUUUUGAUCUUUUCUUUUUAAAAUAACCUUGUCAAUAUUGAUUGCAUAAGUUACACACGAAGCUCCAUUCUAUGCGAAAGUAGAGAAGUUGUAUGGUGGUCUUGCUAACCAAUUGGUUAAUCAAGGCCAUAUACUGGACAAUUUUGCAUCUGCGCUUGAUCAGGUGUUCAACAAUAGUCCAAACGUUUCCCCAUGCCAUGUAUGCGAUCAACUUGGAUCUCAGAUAUUUACAAUGGAUACAUGCAAGGAUUUUGUUAGCGAAGCUGAAUCCUCAACAAAUUACAACAAAACCAGCGAGAUGAACACAUGCUCUUAUAUAAUCUUCACGUACGACGAUGCUAUUUUGAACUUUUUCUACCAACAUCUCCAGAAACUGACCGUAUAAUCUAAGAGGAAACCCACUACAAAAGUCUCGCCGUCCCUUCAUUUUAGAUUUGAUUAGUAUGUUUAACAUCUUCACAUUGUUUAGCUUCAUAAAGCUACACUAAGUGAGAAAUACAGACAGAUUACGAACUAAUGAUAAAAGAAAGAAUGGGUUUUAUUUACCAUUACAUUUCUUGGUGAAGUUUC